CCAUUCCAUGUGCCUCCAUUUUAUUUAGACCACUAAGGACCUAGAGGGCUGAGAACCAAAUGUGGAAAGAUCCUGGCUCCCCGAGUUACCACGUGGAGGAGAGUCACCUGAGAGAGGGCCCUUCAGAAACUGCUGAAAUGUGAUCUCCUGAUAAAAGAUAGAGACAGGAAAGUUCAAGGCAAAGUUUCUGGAUAUUAAAGGCUGGAGUUGGACUGUCUCAACCAGAACCAGCAAUCAGCUGGCUCAAGGAUGCUGAGAUGCCCAGUAACAUGCCCUCCAAUGCCAAAUCUUCAACAGGGAGUGGCCAAAUCACUGUCCCAGGGACAUUCAUUUAGCAAAUGCCAAAGACAGAAAUCAAACGCAGGUUUUCAGACGCGGGAACUGUCACAGGACAGGGGAACUGCCAUCUGAGCGGGGGCUGAUCUCUCAGAAGAAACACCGCAGGUCAACUGGAUUUGAAGUCCAAGUUCCAUCCUGGAAGAAUCCUAACUUACAGGAGCCUGCCAGCUAUUCCUACCCGCCCAGGAGUCUCACCUCGUAGGUGCCACCAUCAACUGGCCAGAGUGGGAGAAUCAGGGAAUCAGGACGUUGGCAGAUGCCACUGAUGAGGCCGCACCUGCCACGUAGGCGCACGUGCCGACUUCCACGUUUGACGGGGCCUUUCUCCAUCACAAAGCUGUGCGCCCAGGCGCUCCUGGCAGGUUCGGAGUCCAGAUGUCCAUCACGAAAUGAGGGCCGUUAUCCAACGCAUCCGUUGGGGGAUGGCCUCACGUGGCACAAUGGUGACGCUGGCUCACCUUCACCAUCACUUAUCAGAUCCUGCUUAUCUGAAAGGAAUUGGAAGAAUAAACCUGGUUUAGCCAAGAGGCCAUAAAGACAUGAAGAGCUCCAUGGUGGGGAUUAUAUGCCAUUUGCAGAAGAGAAAGCAGAAGCUGAGGGAGGCAGCUCAUUCUUCGAGGGCAUACAGCUAGUGGAGGUGGAAGCCAGGCUGACAUGUGGUACUAAAGCCAGGUCUGCAAACUCUACUCUGUAGGCCAAAUAAGGCCCUCCAUCUGGUUUUGUAAAUAAAGUUUUAUUGGAAGGCAGCCAUACCCAUUCACGUA